UAGACCUCAAAUCAGUCAGGACUACCC
rnacentral:rRNA from 2 species